UCUCCAAUAAUUUUGAGAGAAGACGAGUCCCUUCCCCCGCGUCGCCCGAGCGGGCGACUCGGGGGCGAAACCCUCGCGCCGCCUCGGUCCCCUACCUCCUGCCCUCUCUCCCCCGCCGCCGCCGGCGACUGCCGCCGGGCUUGGCCCGCGCGGUGGUAGGCGGCGGCGGGGCUUCCCCGCGCGCCAUCAGCCGGUCCUCCCCGUCGCCCCCGCCCCCAUGGUCGCUGCUUCCGGUCCUUCCCCGACACCUUCCCGGCGGCGACGCCCUCCCCUGCUGCUGGCCCGCCGCGGUGCCUGAUGUGGCCGCCGGUGUUGGCCUGGGUCCGUCUUCUCUGCGAUUCGGCUCCUGCUGCUGCUCCACCCGCCAGAUCUGGAGUUGGUGGGGGCCCCGAUGGCGGUGGGCCUUUCGAUCCGGCCACCUCGUGCCGGGACAGGGUUGUGGCCCUGCUCCUGCUCAGGCCAUCGCAUCCGCCCCUGUGUCGCCGGAUCUGGCGCCCCGACGAGUGUUGACCAAUUUUCAGGCCGGAUCUGCAUGGGGAGGCGGUUGCAGGCGCCUCUUCUUUCUUCGUGGUGCUCGGAGGUGGCUGCGGUAGUGCUCCUGGUGGCGGUGGUGGGCGUGGUGACUAGCUUGGAUGGGAUGUGCGUGGUGGGUGGAUGCCGGUGCGGCGGCCCCGGACUUGGUGGACGGCGUCGGCUUUGCGGCGAGCGGCGUCGAUGGGUGUUGUACCGUGCCCUUGGCCGCGGGGGCGGCGAGGAUGCGGUGUCUGUGCACCGUGGUGUGCUUGGCUCUCCGCGGCCUUGUGCACCGGUGCGUCGAUGACCGCUGUCCCUUCCCGGGUCUGUGCUCUCCUGGUCGGCUCCGGUCUUGUCGUCCUCUUCGGCCUUGGGAUAGGACGUUGCGGAGGGCGACCAGGGGAAACCCUUGGCUUGCGGCAGAGGCCACGAUGUUGGCGACGCCUUUGGCACCGGUUCCCUCCUUUGAGGCUUCGUCGAGGUCCCCUCCUACCUCCUACACUUGCACUUUGCUUUGGGUGAAAACCUUGUCCCCUUGGUGGACGGCGGCGUCGCUGCUCGUCGCUACCCUUCUUGGAGGCGUCGUCUGGGGGACGCAGGUGUGAGGUUGGCACUCGGCUGCUAGGAUUGGGAUAGCUGAUGGCGUUCAUGCUCUUCUUCGUCUUUGCUGACGAUAUGUUCUUCUACGCCGGUCUUCGUCGUACGGUGCCGCGUUUCUGCUUGCGCUUGUGCAGCCUCGCUGUGGUGGUCCGAGAGGUUGUGGAAGGCUAUGCUUAUGCCCGCGGCGCUCCGAUCUCCUUCCCGUGCCUACCCUGUCGUCGUUGCUCAUCCGAGCUCAUGGUGAGCGCUUUGCCUUCCGACGGUCCGGCGCCCUUCGAGCCAGGGCGAGAUGGUAGUGGCCCUCUUCGGAGGCAGACGGAUGGCAGGGCGACCGUGUUUCGGUCCUGUGAAGUGGGCUUUGAGGCUGCCCUCCGAUGUUGGCGACUCCUUCUUCAACUUUCUUGUGUUGCUUGCUUUGUUGUCUGGUUGUAAGCUGCUCCAGCACCUUGUAUCUUGCGCCGUUUUCUUUUUCCUGUUGUAUGGUAACUGCCCUUGUAAUCCUGGCCGGUUGAUGGCUUUGUUAAUUCAAAGUCGGACUAGGUUCGGGCCUCCCUCGGACGCGGCUUAGUCUUUUCUCUAAAAAAAAACUCAUGUCCAGGCCGAUCGUUUUCUCCCAGUCCUGGGAUCAACCACGAAACUUGAUCUUCUUGGGAUUAAUAACUCCAUGACUAGAAUCGUGCUGUAGUAAUCCAUUUUACUACCAGUCCAACAUGACGUGCUGCCUCCUCAUAUUAUUCUUUUGGUAGCAGUAGCCGCCUUAAUUUUUCCUGUAUCCAGAUCUUUGAUUAUGUAAUAAGCAUAGCCUCUACAUCAUGCCAUUGUGGUGUCUAAAUUGGUUGUGUCAUGGAUACCUCUACUGCAGGAUUGGUGAUCCACGUUUGCAGCUUUAUAAGUUCCCUUUAUAAUAAUUUCAGGCUAUAUAUUUUCUAUUUGUUCAGUAGAUGCCUGAUGAAAUCCCCGUCGGAGCCAACAAUUUAUUUUACUACCAGAUAUAUCUAUUAAACUCUGAGGACAAGAUCAUCAAGUCUCAGAGUUAACAAAAGUACAUGGGGUUAUUCUUCACAUUAAGUAAUUGGUGGUCAUAUAUAGGGGUUAGUGUCGAACCACUAGCAUCGAGCAAAUGAUUGGAGCAAAUAUGGGUGAUGGCGUACACAAAGUAGUUUGAGUACACUAUGUUCUGAUAAAAAAUGAAUACACAACAGGGUGAGGAUCGAUGCUUGAUGAGACUGCCGCGGAAAAUGGUGAUGGGAUUGACCGAACCCUGUUACUGUUCCCCCUUUUAUAACCAAACGAACAAGGUUAAUUAAACAUUGAAGAAACUUUUUACAACUGUAUGCACAUAAAUACAUGUAAUUAGCAGUUUUACAUUGGACAAUGUAAGCAUAUGGAGAUGCAUUAGCCUUCAUCACGGCUGUGCUGAUGUUGUAUAUAUGUACUGCCUAUAUUUCGAAUUUAAGAAUUACACAUAUUCGAAUA